AAUAGAUUAUGCCAUGGCUUGUUACUAUAGUUUAGUUUUGCUUUUGCUUCCUUUAAAUUUUUCUCAGUUGCUCUGCGCAUGAUAAAUAUUUUCUAGAUCAUUCUCCUAUUAUCCAGUUGAUCAGUUGUUUUCUUUAAAUUUUGCUUGCUUUUAUCUGAGACAGUAUGGACAAUGCUUUCUCAGUACGUUGUUGCUCUUGUUACCUGUGUUGGCUAUUUUCUUUUCACGGUAUAUUAAUGUUAAAAAUAUUUAAGUUGCUGUAGAUUUUAUAGGGACUCUUCUUAUAUUUUACUACAUUUCAUAUGCCAUUCGAUAGAAAACAAACUUAUGCUUAACACUAUCAUGAUGACUUACAUUACAAGUGCAUUUGAAAGAGAUAUGGUGCCCCUUGUAUGAAUUUAUUGUGGCAUUGUGUGUGUGGUAGGCUGAUAGCAAUUAGUAAGGCUGAAUUACGUUUGAACAUAAUGAUAAGAUAAGGAUGUGUAGUUUUAAUGAGUUGGCACAACUUAUCCUUAUAAACAAAGGACUACAAGAGUUGUCUGUGUUACAUGGAUAGUCUUUAACUACGUGUGUCCUUUUUGCAAGAAUUUCAGUAUUUUCUGUUGGCCCUUUACAGUCCUACCAGAUGACCAACAUAUAGUAACUUGCUGAAUGGUCAAUCCACGUGGGCCCUAAUAGAUGGCAAUACACCCACACCCACCUACUUUGAGUUGUGGACUGAGAUAAACUACUGCUAGAAAGCAUCUCAUUUGGACAGUCUUUCAAUGAAAGCACAACAAUACAUCAAUACCCGGAGAUAAUAAAUAAUCCAAGUGAUACCACCCCUAGGAUAGGUAAAAUAAUAGCUAGAAUAUGAAUAGAACUUCAACAAAAACUCUUUUGCAUUUUGGUGCUCACAUCACAACUCCCUUGAAAGACUCACACCUCCCUCUCAAGUUUUCACUCAGAAGCAAAAGAGCUGGGUUCCUCGACUCCCUCCGCUUUAUCUCACAUGAUUCCCCCACUAAAUAUUACCUCCACUCCAAAAGAAAAUCUGGGGAUCAAACACGCUACUCACAGGAAGCACACAAUAUGUGGGGCGCACACACACACUUGAUGAUCAACCUGCAUACAGAGAUAAAUUUGGAUUGUCCCUUUACCUACACACUCAAGUAGAUUAAGGUAGUUACCACCAUACAUAGGAGUAAUUAGAGGGACACACCCAGUAAGCAAUUGAGGUCUGCAGCACCUUCCUUUCUAUUGUACAAACCAACAAACAACUACAAUCAAAAUGUUAAUCCCACCACCACUGUGAAAUAGAAUGAGGUCCUUUUGGGGCUUUAGAAAAUGAGAAGAGUCUAUUUCUUACCCCGUCGAUUAUUUUAUUAGCAACCACAUGUGGUGGAUUUUUAAUGCUCACAUUUUCCCUUCAUAUGGAUGUGAAAGUUGAAAAACGCCUACGAGUUUGGAGUGUAGUCAUCUGUGUACUGCUUGUGGUUCUGUUAAGUUUGUCCUUUUUGAUGCAUUAUAUGUUAUGUUGGUGCAAGGUUUUUCACCAAAUAAAGUGGGCUGGAAAUCUUCCACCUAUUUUCCCAACAAAAAUUUGGAUUUCUUUUUCUAGGCAUGAUUUGAAGUUGUAGAGUCUUGACAUCUUUUGUGAUGAUUAUCUUGCUCUCUCUUUCUCUUGUUCUUUUUUGAAUAUGAUGUUGGGCCAAGUGCCAAACAUAAAGUGGAUAGGUGUGGAGACAACUGAUUGGGUGGUGGUGUGAUAUUUGAAAAGAUAUUCUUUUUAUCACGAAAUUUGAUUUGACUAGUAAUUGCUUAUAUGACUUGUAUAAUUUUUCUAGAAACUUUGUUUUCUUUCUGACCAUUGCAUAUUAGCAGAGCCUUUUCAUAUUUAUUUUUGUGUACAGGUUGUUUAUUUUGGGUAUGCCAUGACAUGGAGUGAGAGCUGGGAUGUAGUUAAAUGUAUUUGAGAGCUCCCCCUUUUCCAAAUUGACGUUUAUUACAAUACACUCAUUGCCACUUGUCAAACCAUCCUCUUUCCUUGUUACAGGUCUAUCAAGUAGAUCCAAAUUGUGUUUCUUUUUUAGUUUUUUCCAUCUGUCUUACUCUUAACAAUGUGCACAAGAUAUGGGCAUGACUUAUGGUGCGAAGCACCUGAAAUAGCACUUGUAAACGUUAUGACAUUAUCCUAUUUGUCUCAAAUUUUCUAGUCAAAAUUUCCUCCCAUUCUCAUAAUUAGUAUCUUCUCCCUCUGUGCUCUUCCUAUCUUCCUCCUCUCUCAGUUUCUAAUUUCACUUCGAGCCUCAGAGUCUCGUUAGUAUAUUCUUUAGCGGAUGAUCCCCCUGUCUCUCUCUAAGUGUACUUAUCUAGAUCUACUUGUCGAUGUGUAUGUUCUAUAUAUGCAUGUAUUUCCAUUAUCCUAGUCUUUUGAUGUGUCGGUUGCAUAAAUUCUGUCCGAUUGACUUCCAUUAAUUUCAAAUUCUUGGCAAACAGAGAUAGGCUAUAUCUAGAAAGAUGAAAGCGACAACGCUUGAAAGUUUUCUUUCUAUGAAGUGAACGUUUAAUUUUUGCUUAAUUUUCCUUUACAGAACUCCCAAUUAAUUCUCCAGUUUUUUGACUUUAUGUGUUUACGUUUGCUCGUGGUCUGUUUGGUUGCAUAGAAACCAAGGCAAGAGAAAAAUAGAAUUCCCAAAAGAAAAGGAAAAGCAAUGUGGCAUACUGUUCUUUGCUUCUGCAAUCGAGUUUGAUUUGAGUGAUCCUCGGCAAUGAAAGUCAGGUAAUGAGAUUGCUAAACCGGAUAUCAGAGAUUGGAACAACUGGAGUAAUGGAAACAGUUACCUUAAGGUUCCUCCAUAUCUUACACACAAACUUGUGGAUAUUUGUUGAAUCUUGUCCAAAACUUACCUACCUUUAUUUCUUAGAUUGUCAACGAGAGUAUAAUUAUUUACUCUCAAAGUGGGAGCCUUUAACUUCAGAGGAACUUCAGGUAUAAUUUAUCCUAUUGUCGUCUUUCGUCAAUGCUGUAUCAGAGCAACUCUUCUGUCCAUUCACUUUUUUUUCUUUAGGAGUAGUCCUCCUUUUGUCUGAAUGAGGCGAGAAAUGCUCUUCCGCCCCUUGUUGUACCAAACUUGGACUUAGAUGAUUGUAGGGUUUGGACUCGUUCAUCUAAUGGAGAGUUCACCAUCUCUUCGCUCUGGAACAAGCUGCGUCCUUGUUGCCCUAAGGUCAACUGGAGCCAUCUUGUAUGGUUUCCGGCUCAUAUCCCACACUGCAGUAUGAUUUCCUGGCUGGCUAUUCUUGGUAGGCUUUCUACUGAAGAUCGGCUUGUUCUCUUUGGUAUUAAGCCUACUUCCUGUUGUAGUUUAUGCAAUGGUAGUGAAAGCCAUGAUCACUUGUUCUUUAAUUGUCCCUUCUCUUGUCAAGUAUGGAAUUCCAUAUCUGCUACCCUGAAUGUCUCUCGGGCUCCUCAGUCUUGGUCCAACUGGAUUCUUAUUUUUUCUUCUUUUAGAGGCAAUUCACUUUGGGUAACUACCAUUAAGUUGGCAUUCACAGUCACAAUUUACCAAUUAUUGAAGGAGAGGAACUUGAGGAAGUUCCAGAAACACUUGUUGCUCUCCCUCUGUUAUUAUUACUCACAAAAUUUGCGUAGAGGUUAGGCUUAGACUUUUGUCUUUAGCAAACUCCCUCAAGGAGCCCAGGCUAGCUGGUUUGUUGACAAAUGGAGUCUGAAUACUACUUAGAUGCAGCUAGCUGUGGUCCAGCUGUGGUUUUGAUUGUAUCCUAACUAAAUAUCAUAUCCAAUUGCAGAUCAUUCUCUUGCAUUCUGUGUUGUAGUGCUCAAGUGGUGCAAAUGCCGAUUAUGGAGUAGAUUAGUUGUGUCCCAAUUGGAGGCUCAGUGCUUGGAUCUACUAAUACUUCUAAAAUGGAUGGUAGUUAUCUUAUUCUUUGACUCAAGUACUUAGUUGGAUUGACUGGAUACUUUUGUUGGUUACUAUGUACGUGAUCUGUGUGUGCCAGUAGAUGUGUGUUCCCAUGUGAGUUGUGUGUGAUUGAACCUCAUACUUUUUUGUGAGAGGAGGUAAUAUGUAGUGGGGGGCAUCAUGUGAGCAUUAGCAGAGGGAGAGGGGUGGAGCCAUUUCCCCUAUUGCCAUCUAUUGAAAAGAAGAGUGGGAGUUGAGGUUUUCAAGGGAGACUGGUGUAAGCACCAUAAGCAAAGGGGUUUCUUGUUUCUUGUUCUUGUUUCACUUAGCUAAUCAACUUGAAAAUCGGAGUUCAUUGCCAUUUGGUACAGUUUUUAAGGCUGAAAAUCUGCAUUCAUGGUUGUUUGUCCCUCAGUUUGUAUUUUGAUGUGCUGAAAAUGCAGGUUUUUAUGCUCUGAACCAUAAUUGGCUUAAUGUUUCGGAGGCUGUGUUGUAAAUUUUUGGAAACAAUUAAUGUUGGAAGUCGUGUUUUCUAGGUGUAAUUCAGUGGCUGUUGUUGUUGAUCCACUUCAUUUGCUUCA